AUUGAACGCUGGCGGCAUGCCUUACACAUGCAAGUCGAACGGCAGCACGGGAGCAAUCCUGGUGGCGAGUGGCGAACGGGUGAGUAAAGUAUCGGAACGUGCCCAGUCGUGGGGGAUAACGUAGCGAAAGUUACGCUAAUACCGCAUACGAUCUAUGGAUGAAAGCGGGGGAUCGCAAGACCUCGCGCGAUUGGAGCGGCCGAUAUCAGAUUAGGUAGUUGGUGGGGUAAAGGCUCACCAAGCCGACGAUCUGUAGCUGGUCUGAGAGGACGACCAGCCACACUGGGACUGAGACACGGCCCAGACUCCUACGGGAGGCAGCAGUGGGGAAUUUUGGACAAUGGGCGAAAGCCUGACCCAGCCAUGCCGCGUGCAGGAUGAAGGCCUUCGGGUUGUAAACUGCUUUUGUACGGAACGAAAAGGUUUGGCCUAAUAAGCUGAGCUCAUGACGGUACCGUAAGAAUAAGCACCGGCUAACUACGUGCCAGCCGCCGCAGUAU
rnacentral:rRNA from 1 species